GCGCAAGUGGCGGAAAGGGGAGAUGCGGCAGGCUCAAACCCUGUUACUGCGAACGUGUGCGAGUUCAAAUCUCGCCUUGCGCACCA
rnacentral:tRNA from 2 species